UGGGGAAUAUUGGACAAUGGGCGCAAGCCUGAUCCAGCCAUGCCGCGUGAGUGACGAAGGUCUUCGGAUUGUAAAGCUCUUUUGGCGGGGACGAUAAUGACGGUACCCGCAGAAUAAGCCCCGGCUAACUUCGUGCCAGCAGCCGCGGUAAUACGAAGGGGGCUAGCGUUGUUCGGAAUCACUGGGCGUAAAGCGCACGUAGGCGGAUUUGUUAGUCAGGGGUGAAAUCCCGGGGCUCAACCUCGGAACUGCCUCUGAUACUGCAAAUCUCGAGUCCGAUAGAGGUGAGUGGAAUUCCUAGUGUAGAGGUGAAAUUCGUAGAUAUUAGGAAGAACACCAGUGGCGAAGGCGGCUCACUGGAUCGGUACUGACGCUGAGGUGCGAAAGCGUGGGGAGCAAACAGGAUUAGAUACCCAUGUAGUCCCUGAGCGGGCUGGCAAGGCGCAU
rnacentral:rRNA from 1 species